rnacentral:rRNA from 1 species
AUUGAACGCUGGCGGCAGGCUUAACACAUGCAAGUCGAGCGGAGAUGAGGUGCUUGCACCCUAUCUUAGCGGCGGACGGGUGAGUAAUGCUUAGGAAUCUGCCUAUUAGUGGGGGACAACAUUCCGAAAGGAAUGCUAAUACCGCAUACGUCCUACGGGAGAAAGCAGGGGAUCUUCGGACCUUGCGCUAAUAGAUGAGCCUAAGUCGGAUUAGCUAGUUGGUGGGGUAAAGGCCUACCAAGGCGACGAUCUGUAGCGGGUCUGAGAGGAUGAUCCGCCACACUGGGACUGAGACACGGCCCAGACUCCUACGGGAGGCAGCAGUGGGGAAUAUUGGACAAUGGGGGGAACCCUGAUCCAGCCAUGCCGCGUGUGUGAAGAAGGCCUUAUGGUUGUAAAGCACUUUAAGCGAGGAGGAGGCUACUGAGACUAAUACUCUUGGAUAGUGGACGUUACUCGCAGAAUAAGCACCGGCUAACUCUGUGUCAGCCGCCGCAGUAAAAC